rnacentral:lncRNA from 10 species
CUGUCCCCAACAGGUUGGCUGUAGAAUAGUGUGAGGCCGUUGUUCUCCAAUCAAAAGGAUAAACACGUGCCUGACUUUCCAUCUCUUGAAGAGCGGUUGGUGUACGAACGCAUGACAGGAUCACUCUCACAUGACUCAAGAGCAAGUACUUAAUUUGGAAGGUGAAGGAACUGCUGGUAGUGUGUAAUCCUGGGCAAGAAACAUGAACUCUUUGAGCCUUAAUCUCAGCUCUCUGUACAGCAGCUGUAUAAAUACCGCUCAGGCAGACUUCUUGGCAAAUACAGCAAGGCUGCUACAAACAGCCAAAAACAAAGCGGAAUUGUUCUAGGAAAUAAAUUACUUGAACAGCGGAGGAGACUUUGCCCUAUUUGAUAUGGAAAGCACAGCCAUGGGUAUGGAUAUCAGAGCCUCAGAGUUAGGAGCUGCUCCAAGCCUUCUUCCCUAGAUGCCUCACACCCCUCCUGGACAACUUCCAAGUAUCACAGCUCUGGAUGGCCACUCAUCUUCUGUGUACAGACUCCAACCCAGCUGAAACCCAUUUCAUGAAAUGUACUUUAUAUAAACCUAAUUUAUUAAAG